CAAAAGAUGAUUAAGAAAUAUACUCUGAAAUUCAUUAUGAAAAUCAAAUUUUGUGCUAUUUAAGCCUGAUUUGA